rnacentral:tRNA from 1 species
UUGAUAGAAACCAAAGUAGAGGUAUAUUACUGUUAAUGAUAAAAUUGAAUUUUUUAAUUCCUAUCAAG